rnacentral:lncRNA from 1 species
UGGGGCUGAAGAAUGGACUUGCAAGAUGGCCUCACUAACAUGGCUGGCAAGCUGGUGUUGACUGUUGGCUUGAAGCUCAGCUGGGGCUGUUAACCAGUGGCCUCACUUCCUUUCUGCUUGGCCUCUCCACAUGGCUAGAUUGGACUUCUCACAGGGAGGCAGUCUCUGGAUAUUCAAACUUCUUACAUGGUGGCUGGCUUCUUCUAAAAUACAAAAAUGAAAGCUGCCAGGCCUUUGUAAGGCUUAGAAUUGAACUGGCACCCUGUCACUUCCUCCAUGAUCUAUUGGUUAAAGAAGGUCACAGAACCAGCCCAGAUUCAAGGAGCGGGGAACAAUCCAAGGACAUGAAUAUUGGGAUUGGUAGCCGACUUCCCGUGACUGACCAGCCUCUCAUUAGCUCUGCCUGACUGCAGACCCUCCAGCCCUGACAAGUCCUCCAGCAGCUCGUUGGCCUGAGCACCCACUCCUGCCUCUGCUAAGAAAACCAACCACCAGGACUCCCAGAUAGUAUCAAGAAACUGAAACUCACCAGAUCACUGCCUCUGGACCAUGAGAUGUCAGAUCCCUCACCUGUCACGAUUGCCUAACUGACCACCUGCUUCCUGUUGACCAUCUCCUCUUCCCUACCCUCCUUAGUUCUUGUUUUCCCAUACAUUGUUACAUUUCUUCCUUGCUCUAUAAACCUCUAAUUACAGUCAGUUGGGGAGAUGGAUGUGGGACUGAUCUCCCAUCUCCUUGGCUGCAGCACCCAAUUAAACCUUCUUUCCUGGCAAUACUCAUUGUCUCAGUGAUUGGCUUUCUGUGUGGUGAGCAGCAGGACGUAGGCCAAACCCCUGGUAUUUCAGUAACAUUUCCUUCUUGGAACACAGUCCCAUAUUGUAAGGAACCCAACCCACAUGGAGAGGCCAGGUGGAAGAGAGUGGAGGCACUCAGUCUAUGGUCCCAGCUUAGUUCCCAACUAACAGCCAGCAUCAACCACCAGCCAUGUAAGCUCUCCACUGUGGACAUUCAGCUCAGCCAAGGCCCCACCCAGUUGACUAGAGUCCCACCUGACAUCACAUGCAAAAGAGCUACCCAGGUGAGCCAAGUCAGCCUAUACAGUUAGAAAGAAAAUAAAAUGAUUGUUGUUUCUAAGAUGCUAAGUUUUGAGGUGGUUUGUUUUUGUGCAACAUAUGAUUGAAAC